rnacentral:snoRNA from 1 species
AAGACUAUACUUUCAGGGAUCAUUUUUAUAGUUGGUUGCUAGAGAAGGGUCUCUGAAUGUGUAGGGCACCGAAAGCCACGAGGAGGAGGUGCAACAUUCUCUCCUGAGUGUGAAGCUGGCUGUAGGUGUUGCUUUCUUGCAACUGCCUUUUGCCAUUGAUGAUUGUUCUUCUCCCCCGUUUCGGGGGACGGAGAGGGAGAGGACGCAGUCCGAAUGGU